CCUACGGGUGGCAGCAGUGAGGAAUAUUGGUCAAUGGGCGGAAGCCUGAACCAGCCAAGUCGCGUGAAGGAUGACUGCCCUACGGGUUGUAAACUUCUUUUAUAAAGGAAUAAAGUGUGGCACGUGUGCCUUUUUGUAUGUACUUUAUGAAUAAGCAUCGGCUAACUCCGUGCCAGCAGCCGCGGUAAUACGGAGGAUCCGAGCGUUAUCCGGAUUUAUUGGGUUUAAAGGGAGCGUAGAUGGGUUGUUAAGUCAGUUGUGAAAGUUUGCGGCUUAACCGUAAAAUUGCAAUUGAUACUGGAAGUCUUGAGUACAGUCGAGGUAGGCGGAAUACGUGGAGUAGCGGUGAAAUGCUUAGAUAUCACGAAGAACUCCGAUAGCGAAGGCAGCUUACUAAACUGCCACUGACAUUGAUGCUCGAGAGUGUGGGUAUCAAACAGGAUUAGAUACCCUAGUAGUC
rnacentral:rRNA from 1 species